rnacentral:rRNA from 1 species
AUUGAACGCUGGCGGCGGGCCUAACACAUGCAAGUCGAACGGUAGCACAGAGAGCUUGCUCUCGGGUGACGAGUGGCGGACGGGUGAGUAAUGUCUGGGAAACUGCCCGAUGGAGGGGGAUAACUACUGGAAACGGUAGCUAAUACCGCAUAACGUCGCAAGACCAAAGUGGGGGACCUUCGGGCCUCACACCAUCGGAUGUGCCCAGAUGGGAUUAGCUAGUAGGUGGGGUAAUGGCUCACCUAGGCGACGAUCCCUAGCUGGUCUGAGAGGAUGACCAGCCACACUGGAACUGAGACACGGUCCAGACUCCUACGGGAGGCAGCAGUGGGAAAUAUUGCACAAUGGGCGCAAGCCUGAUGCAGCCAUGCCGCGUGUAUGAAGAAGGCCUUCGGGUUGUAAAGUACUUUCAGCGGGGAGGAAGGCGGUGAAGUUAAUAACUUCACCGAUUGACGUUACCCGCAGAAGAAGCACCGGCUAACUCCGUGCCAGCCGCCGCCGUAA